rnacentral:rRNA from 1 species
ACCUGGUUGAUCCUGCCAGUAGUCAUAUGCUUGUCUCAAAGCUUAAGCCAUGCAAGUGUAAGUUCACGCCACGCAUUAGAACGGGCGAAACCGCGAAUGGCUCAGGAACCGGACCUAAUCCUCGGGACCGUAAUCCUCCUCGGAGGCGAUGGAUAACUGUGGCAAUUCUAGAGCUAAUACAUGUGACACAGGCCGCGAUCGGUCGUCGCGCCGUGGUCGCCUCGCCUUCUUGCGCGCUGGCACCCGCGACGGCCGUCUUGGGUCGCGGCGCUACAUAUUAGACUGAGACCGAUGCGCGAUUCCCGUCCUCCCUUCGGUUAGCUGCGGGUCUCACGGCUCGCGCUUUCUGUCGGGRCCAAAGGUCGGCGCGCUCCGCUUUGGUGACUCUGGAUAACUCACUGGUCGAUCGCACGGGCUUCCACGCCCGGCGACGGGUCCCUCGAGGGUCCGCCCUAUCAACUGUCGACGGUCGGUUAAGUGCCUACCGUGGUUACUACGGGUAACGGGGAAUCGGGGUUCGAUUCCGGAGAGGGAGCAUGCGAAACGGCUACCACAUCCAAGGAAGGCAGCAGGCGCGCAAAUUACCCACUCCCGGCACGGGGAGGUAGUGACGAAAAAUAACGACGCGGGACUCUGUCGAGGCCCCGCGAUCGGAAUGAGUACACUUCAAAUCCGUUAACGAGGACCAACCGGAGGGCAAGUCUGGUGCCAGCAGCCGCGGUAAUUCCAGCUCCGGUAGCGUAUAUUAAAGUUGUUGCGGUUAAAAAGCUCGUAGUCCGAACUCGGGUUCGUGGUCGCUCACGCGGCCCCGGGGCGGCGGCGCCAUCGUCCAUCGUUGACUUUGGUCGUCCGUUCGCAUUCCCGGCCCUUUCCGCCGGUGUCAAUCGCUAUAUAGACGGCCGCGUGGUCAACUGGUGGUAGGCGCGACUCUUGGGUCUUCGGGUGUCGGGCCUCUGUCUUUGCUCGGCCCUUUUGCCUUUUUUCGGGGUUUUGGUGGACGAACGUGCGGGCUCACGCCCAAACCGCAAUCCGUCAAUCUCCUCGGGCCUUGGUGGAGGGUUGGGUGGGGCGGAUCCGGCGUCUGGUUUCCCGGGAUUCCGGGCUUUCGGGCCCCCUAUCGCUAAGUUCCUCGCGUCGCCGUCGGUGAUUUCUCCUCCAAGGGUGCUCUUAACCGAGUGUCCGCGGCGGCCGGUACGUUCACUUUGAAAAAAUUAGAGUGCUCAGAGCGGGCUGUUCAAGCUUGCAUACGAUAAGCAUGGAAUGAUGGAAGAGGGCCUCGUCUACGUCUGUCGGUCUCCGUCUACGGCGAGGCAAUGAUCGAAGGGAGCGGUCGGGGCCACUCGUAUUGCGACGUUAGAGGUGAAAUUCUUGGAUCGUCGCAAGACGAACUGCAGCGAUGGCGUGUGGCAAGCACGUUUUCCUCGAUCAAGAGCGAAAGUCGGAGGUUCGAAGACGAUCAGAUACCGUCGUAGUUCCGACCGUAAACGAUGCCGACCGGCGAUCCGCCGGCGUUCGCUUCCAUGACCCGGCGGGUAGCCUGCGGGAAACCAGAGUUCGGUUCCGGGGGGAGUAUGGUUGCAAAGCUGAAACUUAAAGGAAUUGACGGAAGGGCACCACCAGGAGUGGAGCCUGCGGCUUAAUUUGACUCAACACGGGAAAACUCACCCGGUCCGGACACCGGUAGGAUUGACAGAUCGAUAGCUCUUUCUCGAUUCGGUGGGUGGUGGUGCAUGGCCGUUCUUAGUUGGUGGAGCGAUCCGUCUGGUUGAUUCCGAUAACGAACGAGACUCCGGCCUGCUAACUAGUGCGCCGAUGUCAGUGCGGCGUCGCAUCCCGGCGUCGUGUGCGGGCUCGUCGGCGCGAUUUUUGAUCGUGUCCUCUCGUGUCCGGGUCGGUUUCUCACGCACUUCUUAGAGGGACGGGUGGCAGAAAGCCACACGAGGCGGAGCGAUAACAGGUCUGUGAUGCCCUUAGAUGUCCGGGGCCGCACGCGCGCUACACUGGAGGUAUCAGCGGGGACUUCGCCCCGGCCCGAGAGGGUCGGGAAACCUCUCAACCACCUCCCGUGAUAGGGAUCGGGGCCUGUAACCAACCCCGUGAACGAGGAAUUCCCGGUAGGCGCGGGUCAACAGCCCGCGUCGAUCACGUCCCUGCCCUUUGUACACACCGCCCGUCGCUACUACCGAUCGAACGGUCCGGUGAGGUCCUCGGAUCUGGCCGACGACGCCGCCGGGUGGCGGCCCUCGCGGGUCACCGCCUCGGCGUUCGAUGCCUGGAGAAGACGACCGAACCCGAUCGUUUAGAGGAAGUAAAAGUCGUAACAAGGUUUCCGUAGGUGAACCUGCGGAAGGAUCAUUA